rnacentral:rRNA from 1 species
GUGUCAGCAGCCGCGGUAAGACGUAGGGGGCGAGCGUUGUCCGGAUUUACUGGGCGUAAAGAGCGCGUAGGCGGUUCGUUAAGUGCACAAGUGAAAGCUCCAGGCUCAACUUGGAAAUUGCUUUGCAUACUGGCGGACUUGAGGGACGCAGAGGUCUGUGGAAUUCCUGGUGUAACGGUGAAAUGUGUUGAUAUCAGGAGGAACACCCAUGGCGAAGGCAGCAGACUGGGCGUUUCCUGACGCUGAGGCGCGAAAGCGUGGGUAGCAAACAGGAUUAGAUACCCCGGUAGUCC